rnacentral:rRNA from 1 species
UACGGAGGGUGCAAGCGUUAUCCGGAUUCACUGGGUUUAAAGGGUGCGUAGGCGGGCAGGUAAGUCAGUGGUGAAAUCCCCGAGCUUAACUUGGGAACUGCCGUUGAUACUAUCUGUCUUGAAUGUUGUGGAGGUAAGCGGAAUAUGUCAUGUAGCGGUGAAAUGCUUAGAUAUGACAUAGAACACCAAUUGCGAAGGCAGCUUGCUACACAAUUAUUGACUCUGAUGCACGAAAGCGUGGGGAGCAAACAGG